rnacentral:rRNA from 1 species
CUAAAUACUACCCAGUGACCGAUAGCGUAUAGUACUGUGAAGGAAAGGUGAAAAGCACCCCGGGAGGGGAGUGAAAAAGAACCUGAAACCCUGUGCCUACAAGCACCUAGAGCACGUCAAAGUGUGAUAGGGUACUUUUUGUAGAACGGUCCGGCGAGCGAUUGUAUGCAGCAAGGUUAAGGACUUAAGGUCUGGAGCCGAAGCGAAAGCGAGUUUGAAAAGGGCGUUAAGUUGCAUAUAAUGGGCCCGAAACCGGGUGACCUACCCAUGGUCAGGUUGAAGUGGAAGUAAAAUUCCAUGGAGGACCGAACCGACCUCCGUUGAAAAGGCGGCGGAUGAACUGUGGGUAGCGGAGAAAUUCCAAUCGAACCCGGAGAUAGCUGGUUCUCCCCGAAAUAGUUUUAGGACUAGCCUCAAGUUAGAUACCUGGAGGUAAAGCACUGAAUAGCCUAGCGGCCGAGAGGUUAGCGAAGCUUAUCAAACUCAGAAUGCCAGAGUAUUGAUGCUUGGGAGUCAGACAGUGUCAGAUAAAUGUCAUUGUCAAAAGGGAAACAGCCCAGAUCUACAGCUAAGGUCCCAAAGUCAGGUUAAGUGGAAAACGAUGUGAAGAUACGCAGACAACCAGGAUGUUGGCUCAGAAGCAGCCACUCAUUCAAAGAGUGCGUAAUAGCUCACUGGUCGAGCGUCUUUGCGCGGAGAAUUUAACGGGGCUAAACCUGACACCGAAGCUUAGGCAAUACAGCAAUGUAUUGGGUAGGGGAGCGUUGUAUACGCGGUGAAACAGUAGCGCAAGCGGCUGUGGAGUGUAUAGAAGUGAGAAUGCCGGAAUGAGUAGCGCGAAUGCAGUGAGAAUCUGCAUGGCCGAAAGCCUCAGGUUUCUGGAGGAAGGUUCGUCCGCUCCAGGUUAGUCGGGAGCUAAGGUGAGGCCUAACGGCGUAGCCGAUGCACAGACGGUAGAGAUUCCGUCACCACCAAAAGAGUUAAACACAGGGACACAUAUGAAGUCUCGGAGCCGGGUGUUGGUUCCGGUAGCGAUCGAGGGAAAUUAGUACCGAAGUCCGGGAUGGAAGAUGGCGAGAAAAGCUGUGUGUAUUUCUGCGGUGCCCGUACCGCAAACCGACACAGGUAGGUAGGAAGAAGAUUCUAAGGCCAACGGGAGAAGGGUUGUUAAGGAACUCGGCAAGUUGACCCCGUAACUUCGGAAUAAGGGGUGCUCACGAGAGUGAGCCGCAGAGAAUAGGCCCAGGCAACUGUUUACCAAAAACACAGGUUUGUGCUAAAUCGAAAGAUGACGUAUACGAGCUGACGCCUGCCCGGUGCUGGAAGGUUAAGAGGAGAUGUGCAAGCAUUGAAUCGAAGCCCCAGUGAACGGCGGCCGUAACUAUAACGGUCCUAAGGUAGCGAAAUUCCUUGUCAGGUAAGUUCUGACCCGCA